UUUUAGUUAAUUUAUGCCUGCAGGGGAUGAUGGGAAGUAAGGUAUAAUAAGCUAUCACUCCGUGUUUACACGGCCACCAUUUCUAUUUUUUCAGCAUAAUCAGCAAUGUGAUACCUUACUUCCCAUCGUCCCCUGCACGCAUAAACUAAAAGCUGGAAUUGCCUAUAGCCUGUUGGGAAAUCCGGUAACCAAUUAGCCUGCGUGGCAGGCGGUAUUUCUACACGGCCUCCCUAAAAACCGCCUGCCACGCAGGCUAGUAACCAAUGAGUGAUAAACUCAAUAAACAAUGAAGCGCCACUUCAUCUGCAUUACCAUAGUUCAUCUGCAUUACCAUAGUUCAUCUGCAUUACCAUAGUUCAUCUGCAUU